ACUUGUCUUUCCUCGCCUGGAAAAAUUGUUACUCGCCAAUAUUUGUCGUCAAUUGUGCAGGAAAAGUCUAAGAUUUCCCAACGGCCUGCAGCGCCGAGGCGAAGGAGUGGAGGAGAGGGAGGCCCCAGCUGCUAGGGGCUUGAGAGAGAAAAAUAACGUUGUUCUGUAUCCAUCUAAAUAGUCCAGGUGUAGUAAAUCAAUAGCGGUGUAGUGUUUGAUAAGUAGAUGUAGAUUUAGCCAGAAGCACGUAGGUAAGCAUGCACAACUUUUCUCCGGAGGGUUGAUUUACGGUCCGAUAAGGGUAUUAAUGGCCGGGUACGAGUGGUGUUUAGCUUCGUAUUAGUUAGUGUCCCUGGGGAGAGGCCAGGUGUGCGGAGAGUACAGGUAGUGACGCAGCCGGCGGCCAGCCUGGGACGGCGCCGCCCUCUUCCCCGCCAGACGCCAACCAAGGCUCCACGUAAGUACUGUGUGUGUGUGUUCAUUGCUGAGGCUGACGUGCAGAAGGGUGGAGACGAACAGUUGUCAUCCCUCGCUUGUCUAAAUCAGGCUGACGCUCCGCCGCCGUCCGCCGGUCGCCACCCCUGAGCCAGUAGCAGCUCGUGGCGGCGUCCAGCGGAAGGUUGUAGUCCCGACGCGGCGCUCGUCCCCCUGACAUAUGGAGUCCGGAGGACACCGUACUACUGGACGGAUUCCCUUGAUGUAAGAUGAUGUACGACACCCGAAGUCGUCGAGCUGUUAACUGACUGUUUUCCAUCUGAACGGCGCACCUAGCGACGGGGAAUUCUGCUGGGAGAUCCCUUUCACAGAACUCCUGCUGGUGACGUCUCUCAGAACUCCUGCUGGUGGUGUCUCAUAGUAUUCUUAGUGGAGGCGCCUCUCGCAAAACACCGAAAGGAAUUUUGUGAGAGGCGCCCCCCGCAGGAGUUCUGUGAGGGGCUCACCCCAGCAGGAGUUGUGUUAGAGGCGCCCCAGCAGGAGUUGUGUGAGGGGUUCACCCCAGCAGGAAUUGUUUGAGAGGCGCCCCAGUAGGAGUUGUGUUGGAGGCGCCCACAGCAGGAGUUGUGUGUAAGGCUCCCCCCAGCAGGAGUUCUGUGAGAUGCGCCCCCAGCAGGAGUUCUGUUGGAGGCGCCCCCCAGCAGGAGUUUUGUGAGAUACGCCCCCCAGCAGGAGAACUCCUGCUGGUGACGUCUCUCAUAACUCCUGCUGGUGGUGUCUCAUAGUAUUCUUAGUGGAGGCGCCUCUCGCAAAACACCGAAAGGAAUUUUGUGAGAGGCGCCCCCAGCAGGAGUUCUGUGAGGGGCUCACCCCAGCAGGAGUUGUGUUAGAGGCGCCCCAGCAGGAGUUGUGUGAGGGGUUCACCCCAGCAGGAAUUGUUUGAGAGGCGCCCCAGUAGGAGUUGUGUUGGAGGCGCCCACAGCAGGAGUUGUGUGUAAGGCUCCCCCCAGCAGGAGUUCUGUGAGAUGCGCCCCCAGCAGGAGUUCUGUUGGAGGCGCCCCCCAGCAGGAGUUCUGUGAGAUACGCCCCCCAGCAGGAGUUGUGUGAGAUGCGCCCCCAGCAGGAGUUGUGUGAGAGGCGCCCUCAGCAGGAGUUGUGUGUGAGGCGCCCCCCAGCAGGAGUUCUAUGAGAUGCGCCCCCAGCAGGAGUUGUGUGAGAGGCGCCCUCAGCAGGAGUUGUGUGUGAGACGCCCCCAGCAGGGGUUGUGUGAGAGGCGCCCCCCCAGCAGGAGUUGUGUAUGAGGCGCCCCCCAGCAGGAGUUGUGUGAGAGGCGCCCCCAGCAGGAGUUAUGUGUGAGACGCCCACAACUCCUACGCCCCCAGCAGGAGUUAGGAGUUGUGUGUGAGACGCCCCCAGCAGGGGUUGUGUGAGAGGCGCCCCCCAGCAGGAGUUGUGUGUGAGACGCCCCCAGCAGGAGUUGUGUGUGAGACGCCCCCAGCAGGGGUUGUGUGAGAGGCGCCCCCCAGCAGGAGUUGUGUAUGAGGCGCCCCCCAGCAGGAGUUGUGUGAGAGGCGCCCCCAGCAGGAGUUGUGUGAGAGGUGCCCCCAGCAGGAGUUAUGUGUGAGACGCCCCCAGCAGGAGUUGUGUG